rnacentral:rRNA from 1 species
GACGAAGGUGGCGAGCGUUGUUCGGAAUCACUGGGCAUAAAGCGCACGUAGGCGGCGACGUAAGUUGGGCGUGAAAUCCCUCGGCCCAACCGAGGAACUGCGGUCAGUACUGCGUUGCUUGAGGAUCCAAGGGGUGCAUGGAAUUCCCGGUGGAGCGGUGAAAUGCGUUGAUAUCGGGAGGAACUCCGGCGGCGAAAGCGGUGCACUGGUGGAUUACUGACGCUGAGGUGCGAAAGCCAGGGGAGCAAACGGG